rnacentral:ncRNA from 1 species
AGUCCCAAAAAUAUUUUAAAGAGAAAAGGAUCCAUUUUAUGGACCUUUUAAUUAUUCUUAAUCUUAUAAAGAAACGAACUUCACUAAAUCUAGUUAAAUUUGUGCCAGCAACUGCGGUUAUACAAAUAGUUCAUUAUCUUUUUAAACUUAGAAAAAAAAAAAUAUUCAAUUAAUUUCUAAUCAGUAAAAUGAAAAAAUCUUAAAUUUUUAAACAAUUUUUCUAAUUAAACCUAAGCUAAAGACAAGGAUUAGAUACCCUUUUAUUCUAGAAUUAUAAGGAAAUUACAAAUUAUGAAAACCCAUGCCCUUUGGCGGCCUUACAUCUUAUUAGAGGAACUCGUAUCUUAAUCCGAUAAUCCCCGUUAAAUUUAUCUUUUUCUCAAAGCCUUUAUAUCGCCGUCUAAAGAAAUCGAUAAAAUUCCAUUUCAAAAUAAAAAAACUUUUCACGUCAGGUCGAGAUAAAACCAAUGAAAAAGGGAGCCGAGUUACUUAUACUCUUUAUUUACAUUCUUCUUUCCAAACAUUCAAGAGUCAAGGAUUUAAUAGUAAUAAAUUAUUAAUAAUUUUUUAUGAAAAAGCUAAAAAGGUGUACAUAUCGCCCGUCACCCUCGUCCAAAGAUGAGGUAAGUCGUAACAAAGUUAAUGUACUGGAAAGUGCAUUAAGGA